AUCUGAUCUGUAUCUUGGCGGGGCAUACUGUUUUAUGCAGCCAUGGCGUGGUUGGACCCUCUUUUUGCUCGAGCUUAACACAGAUCUGAGCCUCAAUUUACUGGUCUCUUCGUCCAUUUCAAUUGAGGGAGUAUUAUUAACAGCUUCAGGGUACUAUAAGCAAAAGUUCAUAAAUAAAAAAUGAGGCUAACAGGGCUUUUGAAUUUUUUUUUGUUGAAAGGGUGGUUGACUCUCUCUGCAUUCAGCCAAUGCAUUCUCCAUACUUUGCUUUUAUUGCUUCGGAUGGCUUGGAAGAGGCGAUGAUGAUUCUUGUAACUUUAUUCCCUUCUGAGCUGAUUAAUUGAGCAUUGGAGGUUAUCCGACCCGUAUCUUGGCGGGGCAUGCUGGUUUUUGCAGCCAUGGCGUGGUUGGACUCUCUUUAUACUCUAGUUUAACACAGAUCUGAGCCUCAAUGCACUGAUCUCUUCGUCAAUUUAAACUGAGGGAGUAGUAUUACCAGCUUCAGGGUACUAUAAGAAUGAGGCUAACAGGGAGUUUGAGGAUUUUCGUUGAAAGGGUGGUUGCCUCUCUCUGCAGUCAGUCAAUGAUUUCUCCAUUAUUAUAAGAAUCCCAACAACCCUCUUAUCAAUUUUAAACAGAGGAAGUAUAUGAUUAUCAACUUUUGUUUGAAAUGGGUUUCUAUAUGCCCUUCCAACUCUUUUUUUCAACUCCUUUUUAAUGCUUCCGCCGGAUCAUUGAUUGUUGCCACUGGAGCUGGUGGAAGCAAUGGUGCUGAGAAUAAUUGGACAGCUUGAAAGAGGCAAUGAUGAUUUUUGCCAAUGUUUAUUCCCUUCUGAGCUGAUUAAUCGGGCAUUUGAGGUUAUCCAACCCGUAUAUUGGCGGGGCAUGCUCCCAGAUUUUCUGGUGGCUUUUGCAGCCAUGGCGUGGUUGGAAUCUCUUGUUGCCUGAGCUUAACACAAAUCUGAGCCUCAAAUUUUUCUCUGUUCAGCUUGGCUUUUUUUGUUAUAUUUAGGGUAUGUUUGGUAUGAAGGAAAAUGUUAUCGAGAGUUGAGAUACAAAAAACGAAAAGCUCAGAAGGGAAGGAAUGAGGCUACAAAGAAGUUGAGGAUUUUUCAUUGAAAGGGUGGUUGCCUCUCUCUGCAUUCAUCCAAUGAUUUCUCUAUCAUUGUAAGAAUCCCAACAACCCUUUUAUCAAUUUUAACGGAGGGAAUGUAUUAUUAAC